rnacentral:rRNA from 1 species
CAAUAGCGUAUAUUAAAGUUGUUGCAGUUAAAAAGCUCGUAGUUGGAUUUCUGGUUGAAGCGACCGGUCGGGCGUUGAUUCGUCUGCACUGGAGUCGGUUUUGGCCAUCCUCUAGGAAAGUGCGUCUGGUAUUAAGUUAUCGGGCGUAUGAUCCUGGUCUUUUACUGUGAAAAAAUUAGAGUGUUUAAAGCAGGCCUUCGCCUUGAAUACAUUAGCAUGGAAUAAUAAGAUAGGACUUUGGUCUAUUUUGUUGGUUUGCAGACCGAAGUAAUGAUUAAUAGGGAUAGUUGGGGGUAUUUAUAUUCCGAUGUCAGAGGUCAAAUUCUUAGAUUUUCGGAAGAUAAACUUAUGCGAAAGCAUUUACCAAGGAUGUUUUCAUUAA